AACAACAAACCUCUGUUUUGCUYUUCGAGCAGAGCAGCAGAAACCAUUCCUUUCACAGAUUAUUACAUGGAUCUCAAGACCAACAUGCCUUAAAACUGACAAAGGGAAGCAGUCUGCAGCCUCCAGCACCUCCCAUCUCACCCAGUCUGCAACACCAGUAACAGGCACAAAGGGCUGUCAGACUCAGCUGAAAAGCAUCUAGACCUUCAUCCACAGGAAGGACAACWUUUUGGUAUGUGAUUGGUAAUACUAUUGCAAGAACGCUGCGUGCUAAAAUGUGUGUUAAGGCUUCUAAAAACCUUUGAGUAGUGGAUGAACUUUAACUUAAUGAACUAUUGAACUGAAAAACUGUGUCCUGGAAGUUCUUUAGAUCGUGCAAGAAGCUCUGCAGAUCUGUCACUUCACUGCCCACCAUGCUGUACAAAGUGUACCUUGAGUAUAAAUUAACAAUUGUACUGCUACUUUUUAUGCUACCUAUUUACAAUCACAUUUUAGAAUAAGACCCUUAUAUUUAUUCAUUAAUCCUAUUGUGGCCCACAUUAAAUCUCUACUUAUCAGUUUAAAUACUUACCAUAAUUUAGAAUUACUUAAGCAGAUCUAAGUCACUUUGACAUUGAAGUGCAUAACCCAACUUCUUUUACAAUAUGGCAGAAACAAUGCUUUGGAUUUUGAUCAUAUUGCUCAACUGGU
rnacentral:lncRNA from 1 species